rnacentral:rRNA from 1 species
UGGGGAAUAUUGCACAAUGGAGGGAACUCUGAUGCAGCGACGCCGCGUGAACGAAGAAGGCUUUCGAGUCGUAAAGUUCUGUUAUAUGGGAAGAUAAUGACGGUACCAUAAGAAAAAGCCCCGGCUAACUACGUGCCAGCAGCCGCGGUAAUACGUAGGGGGCUAGCGUUGUCCGGAAUCACUGGGCGUAAAGGGUUCGCAGGCGGAAAUGCAAGUCAGGUGUAAAAGGCAGUAGCUUAACUACUGUAAGCAUUUGAAACUGCAUAUCUUGAGAAGAGUAGAGGUAAGUGGAAUUUUUAGUGUAGCGGUGAAAUACGUAGAUAUUAAAAAGAAUACCGGUGGCGAAGGCGACUUACUGGGCUCAUUCUGACGCUGAGGAACGAAAGCGUGGGUAGCAAACAGG